GCGCACCAGUCGAGAAACUUCACACUGUGCGAAAGCACGAUGAGGGAAUCCCAAGUGCUUGCACGUAAGUGUAAGCUGUUUCUCUGUCUAAAACGCAGAGAGAGUAAGGGCUGGGUAAGACGGGUGCCAGCCGCCGCGGUAAUACCUGCAGCUCAAGUGGUGACCGUUAUUAUUGGGCCUAAAACGUCCGUAGCCGGUUUAAUAAAUGCCUGGGUAAAUUGUGUAGCUUAACUAUACGAAUUCCGGGUAGACUGUUAAACUUGAGACCGGGAGAAGUUAGAGGUACUCCUGGGGUAGUGGUGAAAUUCUGUAAUCCUAGGGGGACCACCAGUGGCGAAGGCGUCUAACUAGAACGGGUCUGACGGUGAGGGACGAAGCCCUGGGGCGCAAACGGGGAUUAGAUACCCGGGUAGU
rnacentral:rRNA from 1 species